rnacentral:misc_RNA from 1 species
GAUGAAGAACGUAGCGAAAUGCGAUAAGUAGUGUGAAUUGCAGAAUUCAGUGAAUCAUCGAAUCUUUGAACGCACAUUGCGCCCCUUGGUAUUCCAUGGGGCAUGCCUGUUCGAGCGUCAUUUGUACCUUCAAGCUUUGCUUGGUGUUGGGUGUUUGUCCUGAGGGACUCGCCUUAAAGUAAUUGGCAGCCAGUGUUUUGGUUUUGAAGCGCAGCACAAGUCGCGAUUCAAGGCUAUACUCCAGCUUCCACAAGCCUUUUUCACUUUUGACCUCGGAUCAGGUAGGGAUACCCGCUGAACUUAAGCAUAUCAAUAAGCGGAGGA